CUGACAAGCUGAGGAGGCGCAUAGGCCUUACAAAGGAGGGGAGGACAAUUGGUUUAGUGAGUUCAUUUCAUCGUGCCCUCCCUCCAUCUCUCUCCCUCCCUAGUGGGCUUUGUAGAUUUUCUUCACAAGUUUCAUGGCUUCGGAGAGAAAGAGGAAUGGGGUCUGUGAAAUGUAUUAUGAAUUAAAUGCUGGUGGUUGGACAAGGCUGAGGUGGUAUCUAUAAUAUAACAUAAAUUUCUAGAAAUCGGAGCUUCCUUCAAAACACAAGGGUGUAUUAUAAAACACUGCAGCUAAUAAAUACAUACUAAAGGGAUCCUACAGGGGAGGGACAAUCUCCAUCUGGGUGAUGUGCAGUGAUGGCUAAGGUUUCUAAUCCAUGCUUUGUACUAUAAUGACAGCUCUGUGAUCCAAGAAUAAUCAUAAGAAUAUAUACCAAAUAUUGAUUGUCUACUGAGUGCUGAACACAAAGUACAUAUUAUUUUUAUACUACAAGGAUCCUGCAAGGUAGAUAUUUAUUUUCAGUUUACAGGUAAGUAAAGGCUCAGAGAGAAUAAAUACGUUUCUACAAAGAGCUGGUUAAUGGCUCAACUAGCACCAGAACGAAGUUUAUCUAUUUCAGAUUGUGAGCACUUUGCACUAAGUAACAUGAUGUAUCUUUCAGAAAUAUCUUAUUGAAAAUUAUUUUUGCUCCCGAUUUCCCUCAUAGUUAUGUAUUAUUAUGCAACUAAAAUAUCUUCUCUUUUAGAUAAUUGUGACCAACCAACCUAGGAAAAAAUUGGUAUUGGUGUGCAAGGGAGAGGGAGUUGGGGACAAUCUAGAUCCAGACAUAUAGAGAUUAAUGAGAGAAAAAGAAUUAUCUCCAGCAUCACAUAUUCCUUCAGCUUGCCUAUUUCCUGCAUGCCGCAACUAAAGAUCCCGCAUGCCGCAACGAAGAUCCCAUGGGCGGCAACUAAGGCCCAGUGCAGCUAAAUAAAUAAAUAAAUAUUUUAAAGGCUGGACUGUGGACAUGAUGGUAAGAGCCAGUGUUGACCAUGGGCCAUGCAGAUGAGGACAACCCUCUAGAAGAGGCAGAGCAACAAGGCAGAAGUAACCUGGAUCCCUUAAUGACCACCUGGAUUGGAGCCACCUCCCUACCCAAGACCACCCAUGAGAAAUAAAUAAAUCCUGUUGUAUCUAAA